GCCGCUAUCGGAACGGUUCUACAACCCGGUGCAUUGUCACGGAGAAAGAACUCCCACCGACAAGCAAUGUCUCAGAAAUGUUGAAUGCGGAAUAAUCAUUGCCCAGCGUCCUGGGGAGAACUUUUCUCUGAAACACUAUCCCGGAUCUCUCCACCCAGCUCAAUUAAAUUAAAACUACCGCCGAGGGAUCGCUUUGCGAGGAAGUGUGGUUUUCUGCUGCGGUGGUCUCGGACCGAGAUGGAGCGAGCUGCGGACUUCAGUGAAGUUUGCGCAUUCCAUUGGGGACCGAGGGUUUUGUCAGGGGUUCGGUUCCAGCGCUCGGGAGAGAGAGAGAGAGAGAGAGAGAAAUCGACGUUCCUGCUGGUGGAACGACACAACACGAUCCCACUAUAGGAUCUCGAGUUAAACAGUCGUACAAGCGCAGGAACAGGUGCCAGCCGGAGCACCCGUCCAGACCAAUCCCGCUUUAGGUCCUUCUACGCGUUGGAUAACGGAAGGAACCUCAGACAGCCUCUUCCCACAAUAACAUUCUCCUGCCUGGAAGCAUCAUCCUACCUGCCUGUGAUGCUGCUGCAAGUUUUUCAUUGUACCUGUACCUCACCGUACUUGUGCAGAUGACAAUAAACUCGACUUGACAGGAGAAUGUGCAGAGAAAAAUGACAAGAAUGAUCCCAGAAAUACAAGGACAUCGAUAUCAGGAAAGGAUGAUUGGAUUGGGUCUCUUUUCUCUUGAGAAGACAGAGGGGCAAUGUUAUGGAAGUCUUUAAAAUCAUGAAGGAUUUGUUAGAAUGGAUGCAGACAGAAUCAUUCCACUUGUAGAGAAAGCAUAACUAGAAGCUAUCAGAAUCAGAUGGUCACUAAGGAAUCCUCCAUUUUGAUUUUGCAAAUCCCGUGACCUUUGUCACCUCAUUUUCCCCCAAUCCUGCCCCAGCCAAUCUUCUGAAUUUAAUUUUUUUUAAAAAUUACACUGGGAUUAGGGAAUCGGCAGAUUCCACGAGGGACCCAUUACGUGGAUGCUUAACUGCGCACUGUUCAAUUCAGGGUUAAGGCAAUUGAGAGAGGCAGGGCUGGGAGAAAAGAACAAAGGAAUCGAACUGGGAUUCUCUACCAGGAGGCCGCAGACAAUUCUAUGAUUCUGGGAAAGCCAACUUACUUUUCUACUUGGGAGUUGGUGGGACUUGAAGAUUCCCUCCCAGGAAGCUAUUAUAUUAAAAUGCAUACUGCCAUUUAAUAACCCAAUUUUUUUUUACACAAGUUCAUUUGAGUGGAGAUCUCAUUCCAAGAAACAUUGUUCUUUGGCACAUUGCUAAUCUUUCCAGUAAAGCUAUGGGAUAUGACCCAGGUCGUAAUAUCUGGAUUAUUAAAGUCACAGCAGUAAGGGUGAGUGUGCACCACAUGGAUUUGGACCCCUCCCCUGUCCUAUCAGGCAGAAGGUACAGGAGCUGGGGGGCACACACCACCAGGCUCAAGGACAGUUUCUAUACCGCUGUGAUGAGACCAUUGAAUGAUUCCCUUAUACGAUGAGAUGGACUCUUGACCUUACAAUCAAUCUUGUUAUGACCUUGCACCUUAUUGUCAACCUGCAAUGCACUUCCCUGUAGCUGUGACACUAUACUCUGUAUUCUAUUAUUGUUUUUACCUGUACUACCCUCAAUGCACUCUGUACUCACCCAAUGUAACUGCACUGUGUAAUGAAUUGACCUGUACAAACGGUAUGCAAGACAAGUUUUUCACUGUACCUCGGUACAAGUGACAAUAAU